rnacentral:rRNA from 1 species
UACGUAGGGGGCUAGCGUUGUUCGGAUUUACUGGGCGUAAAGGGCGCGUAGGCGGCGCAACAAGUCACUUGUGAAAUCUCCGGGCUUAACCCGGAGCGGCCAAGUGAUACUGUCGUGCUAGAGUGCGGAAGGGGCUACUGGAAUCCUCGGUGUAGCGGUGAAAUGCGUAGAUAUCAGGAGGAACACCGGUGGCGAAGGCGGGUCUCUGGGCCGAUACUGACGCUGAGGAGCGAAAGCGUGGGGAGCGAACAGG